rnacentral:lncRNA from 1 species
CAGUCCAUGCACUUGACAGCCUUGCACUGCCUCUGCUUCCCCACCAAGGAAAAGCCCUCAAGAGCCUGCACAGCAAGACUGCAGCCAGGACCAUGACGUCAGUGCCACCCAGAAGCUGCUUGUCCUUCCAGAUCCUUCCAUGGGGAACAGAGGCUUUCAUUCCUCCAAUAGAGAUGCUGCUGAUGUGUGAACCAGAGCUUUGCAGCCUCUGUGUCCACCGGAUCAAGAGGUGUAUGAACAGACGGAUCCACGCAGGCCUCGGGCACGUGGACAGGGCUCAGAGCCACACUCCCCGCCCUGACCAGCCCCCUCUAGCCUUGGGUGGUGGUCACAGCGACAGUACAAAUGUCACCAUUCCCUGUGACGGACAGGAAGUGAAGAUAGUCAGAGGGCAGCAGAUCGUCCUGGUGAGCAGAUUUUCAACAGCGUGAGUUCUGCCAGAGGCACCCCACCCCCUCAGCUUUUUAGCCAGCCCGUCACUACCUGCAGGAGGUGGGGCCAGGGUGCAGGGCCAGGGCUUUGGUGGAGAAAGAUUUGCAUAAAUCCAGCCAUCCCAGAAUCCUCCCUGGUCAAUUUUUUUUUUCCCCAUUCUUAUCCAAGAAGAGUCCAAGACUUUUAUCCAAGAGAAGAGUCUGCCUCAGCCAGCCUCAUGUCCUUCCUCUUCUCUGGCCCUGUGCUCGGAAUUCGGGAGCAGAUGUGGCAGCCUGUGACUGUGCCCUUUAGCCCUGGUGGCGGGGGACACCUCCCGUUACCAUUCAGCAGGAAGACUCCAGAACUGACAACCAGGCUUACCUCUGGCAGUUCCAUCAACAAAGUCCUCCUCCCCCCACAUUGAAGGGAUUAUUUUAAAAAUGAGAAUGUGAUAGAUUUUCUAAGCCAGAGCUAUAUUGCUUUCCCCCAAAGCAGUUUUCAAACAUUUCAAAAAAUGUUAGCUAGUGAGUCCAAAAGCUCCUUUUAUUCUUUCUGUUUUCUCCCACUCUGAAAAUACACACACGUAGAUCUGUGUACACAGCACACUUGAAGGCAUAUUUUCCAGGAUGUAACUAACAAAGGGAAGAAUGUGGUGGUGGUUGGAAUUCUGGCGCUUGCAAGACAUGGGUCUGUGCUCUGCAUUUCAGUACAGAGGUGAUCACACUGUUAUGGGCAGAGCAUCUGCUCCCUUCACCUGCAGCCUCCACCCUCCUCUUCCUCUGCUCCCUGACCUGACCCGAGAGGCGUUUGAACUAACACGAUCAAGGUGUCGGGACCAGUAUCCCACCCUCCCGCCACCGUGCUUGGCAAGUUCCCAGGGCCUGCAAGUCACACACGGGCCAAGUCGUGGCCUCUUUCCAACAAAAUGGGUACAUGUCCAUGUCAGGCCCAUCUUGCUGCCCUUCAUUAUAACUGUGGUCAAGGAGAAAGGAGUAAGUAGGCUUGGGUACUACAAGGCAAAGCAAUAUUCGAAAGUUUAACAUAUGCUUAUUUUCUAAAAUGUAAGACCUCCAUGGUGAUUGGGGGACUUGGGUGCCCGUCUUCAAUUCUUGUGCCGCAAAGGCCGGGAGGAAACCAUCCCUUUCCCAGGUGCUCUGACCUUGGCCUUGGGAUGCGUGGGCCCACUCCCCAUGUACAGAGGCGGCAUCCUUUGCACAUGGCAGGGCUGUGCGGAGAAACGGGCCCCUGGUGCCUGGGACAUUCCUUCACAGAGGCUCUCCUAGCAACAUGGCGACGCCAGCCAACCCAACAAUGACCUUUUGUCUCUAGCUCUCCUCAGCUCUGUGGCCAUUAGUCUCACCAGAAAACUCAAAGGAUAUUUUGCAAGAGAAGAGUGGUUGCGAGCUAAAGCUCUGAAUCAGUUGCUUUCCUCUGCUUUCUGCAAAUAUCAAACUGGGCUUGCGCCAGAUGAUCGCUUUAGGAGCAGGAAGUACCUAGAGAGGUGCCCUGGAUGGGGGAAAGCUGAGUCUGGAUGGCCCGCGUCCUGGCUCCGGGUAGGGAAGCCCCUCUGUACCACAUCCCUGAACUGUCUGGACCUUAGUGUCCUCAUCUUCCAAAUGAAGCACUAAUUCUCAACAGCGCCGAGUCCUUGCUAACAGUCCAGAUUCCCGAGCCAACAGUAGUUCCCCUGCUGACUCAGAAUCUCUGGGACUGAGCUCCGCCAACGUGACUUUUCACCAAAGGCCAAUAUAGACCUUGCUGAACAAUUGUAAAAACGCUUAGGUAAUUAACUUUCUAAUUUUGUUUACUUGGCACGAGAGGACCAACACACACACACUCAGGAUUGGUAUGCUACAUGCAUUGUGGGGAAUGUGUUUUUUUUUUCUGAUAGAGUUUGCAAAGGACAGAACCAGCCCAUUUUCUUUGCUGUUCCUGGUUAGUUAUCUUCUAUACAAGAAUGUAAAUCAUGCCUCUCUAUCGGCAAAUCACUUUGGACUGUGUGCUUCCAAUAGAUACACUUUAAAAAUUUUGAUAUAUCUGUAUUUACUUAUAUUUUGCUUUAGUAUGAACAUGUUACGACUGUGUUCCUAAUGUUAAAAAAAUAAAUGUUU